UACGUAGGGCGCGAGCGUUGUCCGGAAUUAUUGGGCGUAAAGAGCUCGUAGGCGGCUUGUCGCGUCGGCUGUGAAAACCUGGGGCUCAACUCCGGGCUUGCAGCCGAUACGGGCAAGCUAGAGUUCGGUAGGGGAGACUGGAAUUCCUGGUGUAGCGGUGAAAUGCGCAGAUAUCAGGAGGAACACCGGUGGCGAAGGCGGGUCUCUGGGCCGAUACUGACGCUGAGGAGCGAAAGCGUGGGGAGCGAACAGG
rnacentral:rRNA from 1 species